CACGUAGGGGCCAAGCGUUGUCCGGAUUUAUUGGGCGUAAAGAGCUCGUAGGCGGUUGGGUAAGUCGGGGGUGAAAACUCUGGGCUCAACUCAGAGACGCCACCCGAUACUGCUCUGACUUGAGUCCGGUAGGGGAGUGGGGAAUUCCUGGUGUAGCGGUGAAGUGCGCAGAUAUCAGGAGGAACACCGGUGGCGAAGGCGCCACUCUGGGCCGGAACUGACGCUGAGGAGCGAAAGCGUGGGUAGCAAACAGG
rnacentral:rRNA from 1 species